rnacentral:rRNA from 1 species
UAGAGUUUGAUCCUGGCUCAGAUUGAACGCUAGCGGGAUGCCUUACACAUGCAAGUCGAACGGCAGCAUAAGAGAGCUUGCUCUCUUGAUGGCGAGUGGCGAACGGGUGAGUAAUGUAUCGGAACGUGCCCAGUAGCGGGGGAUAACUACGCGAAAGCGUAGCUAAUACCGCAUACGCCCUACGGGGGAAAGGAGGGGAUCCGCAAGGACCUUUCACUAUUGGAGCGGCCGAUAUCGGAUUAGCUAGUUGGUGGGGUAAAGGCCUACCAAGGCGACGAUCCGUAGCUGGUUUGAGAGGACGACCAGCCACACUGGGACUGAGACACGGCCCAGACUCCUACGGGAGGCAGCAGUGGGGAAUUUUGGACAAUGGGGGAAACCCUGAUCCAGCCAUCUCGCGUGUGCGAUGAAGGCCUUCGGGUUGUAAAGCACUUUUGUUAGGGAAGAAAAGUCUGGUGCUAAUACCACCGGAUGCUGACGGUACCUAAAGAAUAAGCACCGGCUAACUACGUGCC